AUGGUGGAUGCCAUGGAGACCAUCGAGGCGCGGGUGGGAGAACAGCUGCAGCUUCUGCAAACGGUGGGCGACAAGUUGGGUAAGUUGGAUGAUCUGUUUAGUCGCUUGGAUUCCCUUGAUCAACAGUUUGCGGCACAGGCAGCGCAGAUGCAUAUUGUUCAGAACAAUGUCAGUCUCACGAUGAAGUCGAUUGGGGAAAUUAGACAGGAGCAGGCAGCAGCUGCUCGUGAGUCAGGACCGAAGCAAUCUCCUCCGAGCGCGUCCACUAGCGAUGGCAUUUUGGGUACGCCACCGCAGCAUAGGCAACCGGCCGUUCCACCACCUGUGUUUAUGACUCAAGUUGGGCAUUCUGCAACAGAGCAUUUUGGGACAGAAGUUCAGUUGAAGAAACCGUGGAUGCCCAAAAUGGAUUUUCCCCGUUUUGAGGGAGAGGAUGUCCGUAUCUGGCUAGAUGGAUGUGAGGCCUACUUCUCAUUGUAUGCUAUCCCUGAAGAAUUCAAGGUCACGUCAGCUACGCUGCACCUGUCUGGUGAUGCAGCAAAUUGGUUUCAUGCAUACAAGGCUCUGCAUCAGUGGCCGUGCUGGAAUGAGUUUAGGAUGGCAGUUAUGCAGGAGUUUGAUGUGAAUGUUCAUCGCUCAAAGAUGAGAGCUCUGUUGUUACUUAAACAGACCGGAUCAGUGGCUGAGUACAAACGGGAGUUCACCCAACUAGUGUAUCAACUUUUGUUGUAUGAACCGACAGUGAGCGACACAUUUUUGGUGACGAGGUUCACUCUGGGCCUCAAGGAAGAACUCCGGGCUGCUGUUGAUAUGCAGCUACCCACUACUGUUAGUGAAGCAGCUUCAUAUGCAUUGAUCCAGGAAGAGAUUGUACAGCGUGCUCGCUCUAACAGAAGUUUUACUACCAGAACUGCCUUCUUCAAGCCGGACACACGCCCAAGCACUCCACCAGCUGGAGAGCUAUGGAAAGCAAGACAGUUGAAGGAGUAUAGGCGCACUAAUGGCCUGUGUUUCAGUUGCGGUGACAAAUACGCACCUGGUCAUACUUGUGUGAAACCACCCACUCCUACUACAGUCAUGGCCAUGACUAGUGCAGCUGAAGCCAUUUUGUCGGAUGAUAUACUUGAUGCAGUAGAAGAACAAGAAACUGCUUUGCAAGAAAUGCACUUGUCUGUUAAUGCCUUGUUUGGAGCUGAUCACCCUAGAACCAUUCGCUUGCGAGCUCUUAUUGGCAAUCAAGUGGUACUUAUUCUCCUAGACUCCGGUAGUACUCACAGUUUCAUGGAUUCAGCGUUGCUGCCCAGAAUUCAAGUGACACCACAACAAUUGUCCAAAGAAAUCUCUGUAACAGUGGCCAAUGGAGAGAAACUGUUGUGUAAUUCUGAAGUGCCCCAGCUCAACUGGUGGAUCCAGGGACACACAUUUGAGUAUGAUUUUAAAGUUCUUGAUUUGGGAGGUUAUGAUCUCAUUUUGGGCAUGGACUGGUUGGAAGCUCAAGGGGAAAUGACAUGUCACUGGAGAAACAAAUGGAUCCAGUUCAAUCACAAGGAUAGUCUGGUUAAGCUGCAAGGAAUUCUUCCACAGUCUACAGAGGACAUCAAGGAGGUCACUCUAGAACAAACUAUGAAAUGGCACAAAGGCAAUGAUAUUUGGGCAGUGGCACUGAUACAGCCAGUAUGGGACAAAAAGCCUGACCUUGUUCCUGAUCCAGUACAACCCUUGUUACAGGAGUUUGCAGAUGUCUUCAAAGAACCUACGGAGCUACCACCCUCUCGAACUUUGAACCAUGCAAUACACUUGUUACCAGGGGCCGCUCCUGUCAACUCCAAACCUUACAGAUACUCACCACUGCAAAAAGAUGAGAUUGAAAGGCAAGUUGCAGAAAUGCUUAAAGCUGGUACUAUCACUCCCAGUCUCAGCUCUUUUGCUUCUCCUGUCCUAUUGGUAAAAAAGAAAGAUGGAUCUUGGAGAUUUUGUGUAGAUUAUCGGAAGCUAAAUUCCAUCACUGUGAAGAGCAAGUUCCCAAUGCCAGUGGUAGAUGAGCUUUUGGAUGAGCUUAGUGGCACUAAGUGGUUCUCCAAGUUAGAUCUCAGGUCAGGAUAUCAUCAAAUUAGAAUGUUACCGGAGGAUGAACACAAAACAGCUUUCAAAACUCAUAGUGGACAGUAUCAAUUUAGGGUGAUGCCUUUUGGUCUUACUAAUGCCCCCUCCACUUUUCAAUGCAUCAUGAAUUGGAUUUUUGCUGCUUACAACAGAAAAUUUGUUCUUGUCUUCAUGGAUGAUAUCUUAAUCUUUAGUGAGACCCUGGAAGAACAUUUGGAACAUCUCAGAAUAGUGUUUCAAACCUUAAGAGAGCAUCAGUUCUUUGCUAAGAGUACCAAAUGCACUUUUGCAUAG
rnacentral:rRNA from 1 species